UGCGUGCACACAGAGGAAAGGCUAUAUGAAGACUGUGAGAAGGCAGCUGUCUGUAAGUCAGGAAGAGCUUUCUCACCAGAAACUAGCCUUGCUGGCACCUUGAUGUUGGAUUUCCAGCCUCAAGAACUGUGACAAAAUAAUUGUUGCUUGAACUGCCCAGUCUGUGGUUUCUUGUUAUGACAGCCUGGAUGACUAAGGCCAAAUGUUUGUGAAGAACAGCAGUUGAAUGUGGUGAAACUCCCACACCUGUGUGUGCAGGUAUUCACGCACAUUGUCAGAUCUGGAGGCAGGGCUGUGCCGGCCUCAGAGGAUAUGUGGGUGAUGAAAGAAGAUCCGGAACUACACCGUCUACAGACAAGCAUACAGCGUGCAGCCCAUCUAUAAGCGCUGCCCUGGUCGGAGCCGGUGGGACCAUGAACCUGGCUGCCCACGCUCUGUUUCUGCAGUGGGGACAUGUUUCAGUGGAAGGAGGUGCUCAGACAAUGAGGCCCAGCGGUGCCAGUGUUCAGAGGGUUUCCAAGGCCCCCACUGUCAAUAUGAUGUAAACGAAUGUGCCAUUGACAAUGAUGGCUGUCAGAACCAAUGCUGUGAUACACUUGGCAGUUAUUACUGCAAGUGUUAAGCUGGCCAGAAGCUGGAGGAAGAUGGCAGAGGAUGUGAAGGAUCUGCAAAUGCCUGCAGAAAGUUCUCAUUCUGGUCUUCUCUGCUAUGAUAUAUGUUUAACAAGAGCAGAACCCCACAUGGGGAAGAGUGAGGUUUUUCAGCUACACCUAUAACCAGAGCAAGAAGGCAUCUGUGUCCCAGGAUUCCCAGCCCACAUGUUGAGCUUCAUGAUGAUUGGAUCACAUCUGAACAAAUUCAUUCAUUCCUGAGAAAAUUAUAUGCUAAUGAAGAGAUAACCUUGUUCAAUCACUAUGGCAAAAGGAGAUGUCGAUGAAUGUGUGGUGGUGAAUGGAGGCUGCCAGCAGUGCCGUAUUAACACUCUGGACACCUUCCACUGUGAAUGUGAUACGGGAUACAGACUCCAUGCUGAUGAACGCACCUGCAUAAGAUUCCAUGCCAGAGGCCUGGCUCCCUGUCCUUGAGUAGCAUACUUCCUGACAUGCUGUGACCUCUCCUGAGAGACAGCAUCAGAAAAGCCAGUCUGAGAUGUCCCACAUGGGGAGAGGACCACAACAAGUGAGACCAGCUAUGCCUGGUUGGUGGAAGGGCACAGACACAGCAUCAGGAAGUAGACAAAAAUGGAAUUCUUGCCAGAAUUGACUUGCUGUUCAGAGUCUCCAUUG